UACGUAGGGUCCGAGCGUUGUCCGGAAUUACUGGGCGUAAAGAGCUCGUAGGUGGUUUGUCGCGUUGUUCGUGAAAACUCACAGCUCAACUGUGGGCGUGCGGGCGAUACGGGCAGACUUGAGUACUGCAGGGGAGACUGGAAUUCCUGGUGUAGCGGUGGAAUGCGCAGAUAUCAGGAGGAACACCGGUGGCGAAGGCGGGGUCUCUGGGCAGUAACUGACGCUGGAGGA
rnacentral:rRNA from 1 species